rnacentral:rRNA from 1 species
GAGUUUGAUCCUGGCUCAGGAUGAACGCUGGCGGCGUGCUUAACACAUGCAAGUCGAACGAAGCACUUUAUUUGAUUUCCUUCGGGACUGAUUAUUUUGUGACUGAGUGGCGGACGGGUGAGUAACGCGUGGGUAACCUGCCUUGUACAGGGGGAUAACAGUCAGAAAUGACUGCUAAUACCGCAUAAGCGCACAGGACCGCAUGGUCCGGUGUGAAAAACUCCGGUGGUAUGGGAUGGACCCGCGUCUGAUUAGCCAGUUGGUGGGGUAACGGCCUACCAAGUCGACGAUCCAUAGCCGGACUGAGAGGUUGAACGGCCACAUUGGGACUGAGACACGGCCCAGACUCCUACGGGAGGCAGCAGUGGGGAAUAUUGCACAAUGGGGGAAACCCUGAUGCAGCAACGCCGCGUGGAGGAAGAAGGUUUUCGGAUUGUAAACUCCUGUCGUUAGGGACGAUAAUGACGGUACCUAACAAGAAAGCACCGGCUAACUACGUGCCAGCCGCCGCGGUAAUUC